rnacentral:rRNA from 1 species
UGGGGAAUCUUGCGCAAUGGGCGAAAGCCUGACGCAGCAACGCCGCGUGGGGGGUGAAGCUUCUCGGAGUGUAAACCCCUUUCGACCCGGACGAAUGCCCGCAAGGGCUUGACGGUACGGGUAUAAGAAGCCCCGGCUAACUACGUGCCAGCAGCCGCGGUAAAACGUAGGGGGCCAGCGUUGCUCGGAAUUACUGGGCGUAAAGGGUCCGUAGGCGGUGUGGCAAGUCGGAAGUGAAAUCUCUGGGCUUAACUCAGAGGCUGCUUCCGAAACUGCUGUGCUAGAGUGCGAGAGAAGCGAGUGGAAUUGCGGGUGUAGCGGUGAAAUGCGUAGAUAUCCGCAGGAACAUCCGAGGCGAAAGCGGCUCGCUGGAUCGCAACUGACGCUGAGGGACGAAAGCUAGGGGAGCAAACAGGAUUAGAUACCCUGGUAGUCCUAGCCCUAAACCAUCAGGACUUGGGGUUUGCCCUGUACGGGGCAAGUCCCGUAGCUAACGCGUUAAGUCCUGCGCCUGGGGAGUACGGUCGCAAGGCUG